UGCCUCUUGUUUAUGAUCCAGGUCCUCUCUGGGUGGGUGAUCUCUCAGCCACUCCCCCAAAUUCCCCAAUUAGUGCAAAGAUGCCCCCAGAAAUGGUGAUUCCCUCCUUUCUCCUCUUAUCAGCCCAGGGUCCCGCCAAGCUCCGCCUCCAUGGGGGACUGGACAAGACAGCCCACUUUGGACAUCUAACAGAGGCUCGCGGACAUGAAUGCCCACCCCUUCCUCUCCCUUGGGCCACUCCAAAUCCUACCUCAGUGUGGGCCCUAGAUAGAGGAUGAGUAGGGAGGGAGGUGCUAGGCUGGAGUGGCUUGGAUCCCUGAGGGCUGCAGAGGAUCAUGUAGGGGAACCAUGGAGCACAUAUUGUGCUCAAUGUCAUCCUCACAAAAGACCAGUACCCUUUCCCUGCCCCAUUCCACACACAUGUAUUGAAUGCCAGACCAGUAGCGGGGGAGUCUUGGUCCUGACCUCAGGAGCUUCUAGCUCAGAGCUCCCAAAAGUGUUAUCAAACUGAUCUCAGGUCCUCUCACCCAAUGCACUGCAAAGCCAGUCAACUGGUACCAGGUGUGGUGAAGGAAAGUGCAGCAUACCUUUGAACAGUGCCAAGCAAGAAGAGAAGGUAGCCAAAGUGCCAAAGAUGUCCGACCUCUGAUGGCUUCCAGGAAAGGGUUUUUCAAAGCAGCAUUAGGGGUGAGGGUCACAGGGUGUAUGACCAUGUCAUGGACAUUUUUCUGAUUGGUUGGUGGUGAGUUAACAGAGUGAUCAAUCUUCUGCCUCCAACCAGUUUAGGCUCUAUAUGUUUGAGGUCAGCAGUUUCCAUCUGGUAGGGUCCUGGUUUCUGCCAAAACAGCAUAAGAAUAUGUGUCAGAAGGCUCUCCAUAGAGGGGUAACCUCAAGGAGAAGCUAGGGGUUUUGUGACUCUUUUUUCUGGUGGACCUAUUAUUUAAUUUGCUAUUACUUUCCCGCUUGACUGCUUCAUUUUUGUCCCUGAUUUCCCACUUCUCCAAUCAUCAAUUGCUGAGUCUGCUCUCAGAUAAGGCCUAAGAGGCUAAAAGCUUUUUCUACAAGCAAGAAGUGGGGAACACAGAUGUCUGUCACUGGGAAGGCCCCACAGGGCCUGUUUCUGUUUCACAAGGGUGGAGAGCUCCCAAAUCUCUGCUACCAGAUUAAUUCAUUAAUUAUACCAGUCGAUAUUUAUUUCUUUUUAAAUUUUACUUAUCUUCAGCUGCACGGGAUCUUUGUUGCUGCACGCAGCCUUUCUUUAGCUGUGAAAAUGGAGCUACUCUCUAGUCUCUAGUCUAGCCAGCUUGUCAUUGCUUUGGCUUGUCUUGUUGAGGAGCACAGAUUCUAGGGCACCACAGGCUUCAGUAGCUGCAGAAACGCGGGCUCGAGAUCCCUCAGGCUUCAGUAGUUGAGGUGCACUGGGCUUGGUUGCUCUGCUGGCAUGUGGAAUCUUCCCAGACCAGGGAUCAAACCCGUGUCCCCUGCAUUGGCAAGCGGAUUCUUAACCACUGGUCCACCAGGGAAGUCCAACAUAUAUCGAUUGCUUGAGCUCCCUCUGUAUGCUACUGGGCAACGGGGAGACAAUGUUUUCUGAGCCCCAGCCUUAGCUUCUAAACAACUUGCUGCCUGACACAGUUUGGAGGCAGAUGCUAGAGGAGAAGGGAAGAUUGGGAGCCAAUCACCGCGCAAGAAGAGCCUUGCAGGCCGAUCUUUCGAAGUACGUCCUCUAAUUCGCUACCAGCUGUUGUAUGAAGUACUGCUCUAGGGGUUACACCCACCCGGAUCCAAUCAGAGCCGGCCACCAGGGCGUGGUCAGGGGCGGGGCUGCAUCCUGUCUGGCAGCCAGGUCCAGGGCGGGAGGCGACCUGCCUUGGGUGGCUUGCAGUCCGGGGAGGAGAACGGGGAUUGGAGGGGACAUAGAGGAGUCCUGACCUAGCUUCCCACCAUCGUCCAG
ensembl:lncRNA